GGAUCCGUAGCUCAGUUGGCUAGAGCGCCUCGUUUACACCGAGGAGGUCAGAAGUUCGAGUCUUCUCGGGUCCACUA
rnacentral:tRNA from 1 species